UACGUAGGUGGCAAGCGUUGUCCGGAUUUACUGGGCGUAAAGAGCGCGCAGGCGGUCGUUCAAGUCGCGUGUGAAAGCCCCCGGCUCAACUGGGGAGGGUCACGCGAUACUGAUCGACUCGAAGGCAGGAGAGGGUAGUGGAAUUCCCGGUGUAGUGGUGAAAUGCGUAGAUAUCGGGAGGAACACCAGUGGCGAAGGCGACUACCUGGCCUGUUCUUGACGCUGAGGCGCGAAAGCGUGGGUAGCAAACAGG
rnacentral:rRNA from 1 species